CCUACGGGAGGCAGCAGUGAGGAAUAUUGGUCAAUGGCCGAGAGGCUGAACCAGCCAAGUCGCGUGAGGGAUGACGGCCCUACGGGUUGUAAACUUCUUUUAUCAGGGAGUAAAGAGAGUCACGUGUGCCUCUUUGAAUGUACCUUAUGAAUAAGCAUCGGCUAACUCCGUGCCAGCAGCCGCGGUAAUACGGAGGAUCCGAGCGUUAUCCGGAUUUAUUGGGUUUAAAGGGGGCGUAGAGGGGUGGUGAAGUCAGUUGGGAAAUUUUGGGGCUCAACCGGAGAAUUGCAAUUGAUACUGGAAGUCUUGAGUACAGGUGAGGUAGGCGGAAUGCGUGGUGUAGCGGUGAAAUGCUUAGAUAUCACGAAGAACUCCGAUUGCGAAGGCAGCUUAAUAAACUGCCACUGACACUGAUGCGCGAAAGUGUGGGUAUCAAACAGGAUUAGAUACCCUUGUAGUC
rnacentral:rRNA from 1 species